AGACUGCUGUGUUCCUUCCAGGAAUGAUGGAACAGAAUUUGGAGGCUCCAUUUACCAGAAGGUGAAUGAUAAACUGGAAACUGCUGUGAAUCUUGCUUGGACAGCUGGUAACAGCAACACUCGCUUUGGAAUAGCAGCCAAGUAUCAGAUUGACCCAGAUGCCUCUUUUUCUGCUAAAGUGAACAACUCCAGUCUGAUUGGACUGGGAUACACUCAGACUUUAAAGCCAGGUAUCAAGCUGACAUUGUCAGCUUUGUUGGAUGGCAAGAAUGUCAAUGCAGGUGGUCACAAACUUGGUCUAGGAUUGGAAUUUGAAGCAUAAGAAGAGAUUUUACAAUCAUUAAUUUGAAAAUACAGCAUAGUUACCUUCAGAAUAUAGUGUACCUUUCAAUGUUGUAUGUCUGGGAUGCAAGUAAUGCUAAAUAUCAGUCCUGCUAGUCCUGGUUAAAGACAGCUAAGCUUUAAAAUGAUGUUUCAGAAAUGGAGACAAAAAGCAUUCUAAAAAGUCCGAAUUCCAGGCUUUUAUUUUGUUUUGGGAUGUUAUUGCCCACCUUAUCUGUCAGCUGCCGUGUGAUAGCAAAUAGGAGGAUAUUAUUACCUUUACUAACAUAUUGACUGCACAAGGAAUAUGUUAGUGUGAUACAAGAACUGUUAUGUUGAGAAUCGCAGACCACUGUUGUACUGUUAAUUCUUGCAAAAUGUUCUGACACUUAAGGCCUCAAUUCACUGUGGAAUGUGCAAAACUUGCCUGAAAAAAGGGAUUAUUUUUUUGUCCUGAUGGAUGUUUCACAACUGGUUUGUCUCAUUUGGUUCUUUUACACCUACAGCUGUCUCCAGAACGCUUUAGGUUGUCUACUUUGUGUAACUGCUGCCGAGAAGGUUUGAUGUGACUCAGCCAAUACUACUUGUCCUGUGCUGUGGUUCCUUUCCCUUGCACUGAAUGGAAAGCUUGUAAGACAGGGCCAUAAUCAGGGAAGAGUGUUUGUAACUGCAAUCACAUAGUUGCAUCACUAAAUUUAAAAUGGACUUUUGUUUUAUUACCACUUUUUUUUAGCAACUAAAUGGGUACGUUUUUAGAGUCUUCCAUUUUGUGUGGAAAUAGACCCCAAAGUGCUGUACCUGACACUACUAAAACUGGAUACAAAAAAACCAAACCCAACUUGAAUAAAAUAUUGAAAUAUCACCUUUUA